ensembl:rRNA 5S_rRNA 5S ribosomal RNA
CACCACAGCCAUGUCACCCUGCAGCCCAAGACCGGUUACUCACUGAAGCUAAGCAGGGCUGAGCCUGGUCAGUACCUGGAUGGGAGACCACUAGGGAACGCUAGCUUGCUGUUGGAA